GAGGGCGUCCCUGGGAUGGGAUCUGGGCGCCCGGCGCAGCGCGGCUGACAACAGCCGAGCGGUUCCGGUGCGCUGGCACGUGGCUCGGGCCUGCCCCCCCGGCCUGGCCGCCUCCCGGCGCGUUCCCCGGUGCAGGUGCCUGGCCCGUGCCCCGCCAUCUCCGCCCGGCGCCGCCUGUGCUGAAGGAGCCACGCCCCGGGCUCCGGAGCCUGCCUCUGCAAAGUCCAGGCCCGCGGCGCGCAGGUCAGGGCCGCUGCUCCGGGCGGACGGGGACGCGCGGUCACAGGCAACUCCUGUCCUAAGGGCAAGUGAGACAGGAUCAGGGCUGGUAUGAAGGCAUCUCCAUUAGCAGGGAACCAGACACCUUCCAUCUGACUGCUCUGCUAUCCUUCGCAUGCUGCCUCAUGGUCCAAAGUGGCUGCUGAGCACCAGCCUUCGUGUCUGCAUUCUAGCCAGCAGGAACGAGAAAAGGAAAGGGGGCUGGCCUAAAGGCAAGAAGAGAAACCCCCCGAGGGACCUUGCUGUUCCGUGUUCCUACGACAGGGUACAUGAUAUUCCUGAAUGAGCAGAGAAGUCAGCUGAGGGCCACACACCCCGAUCUGCCUUUCACAGAAAUCAUGAAGAUGCUGGCUGUUCAGUGGGCCCAGCUGUCUCAGGAUAAAAAGGGGGAGAUGAACUCAAUGACCUCUACUGCGGGACCUCCAGGCAGCUCUUCAGCUCCCUGUGCAACAAGAAGGAACCUGCUGCAAAGGCAGCACCUGCAGCGCCUCUCAGGUAACCAGCCUGGGCCAGGCGGCUCAGCCGCAAACGCUGGCCUUGACUCCACCUGCGCCAGAGGUCACCAACAGGCGGCCCACGUGACACCUCUUGUUAUUAAAAUGCAAUUUUAAGACAGACUCUAGUCAAGCCCACUUACCACCAGGUGGGUGUUUAGGACAGGGUAGGUCUUCCACUAUAUCUGUUUUCCUCUUAGUUCGCCAGGCCCGCCUGCUCUGGGCCACGCAGGACACGGACGUCAGCUUCUCCUGGAGCGCUCGCUCACUUUAUUCCAUCUCUACGAGCUCCUCAAGUAUCCCAGAGCAUCCCCAGGCCUGUGGCCACCUCGGGUCUGGAUGCCGCAUUCUCUGACCUGUGGCACAUUCUGGGUGCCCAUGAUUAUGAUGAGGUUCUGUGCCCAUGUGGCCUCAGGGCUCUUGAGACCACCCUUCAACCAGGUCUUUGCUCACCUGUCUCCUGCCCAGGGACGCCACCCAGGUCACCGGUGCAAACCUCCAGCCCCUGCCCGUUUCUCUCCAUGAGUGCAUUGCCACCUCGCAGCCUCUUCCACUUGCUCAUUCCUGGUGUUAUUGCCUGUCUCCCACUGGAAGAGAAGGCCCUCAAGUUCAGCAACUGUUUUGCCUGUUUUGUUCACUGUGGUGAACCCCGGGCCUAGAACCACGCCUGGCACUCCCAGUAGGUGCUCAAUAAGUAUCCAAUGAGUGGACAAAUGAAUGGAUGUGUUCAACAAAUGACCCUAGAGCGUGUAUUCCUUCCAGGGACAGAGCGAGGUACUGGGGACACAGGAAGGACGAGGCAGAGCUCCGCGCUGACGAAACCAAGGGCCAAGCGUGCGAGUGAAUACGAACAUCCUGGCGUUAAAACGUCUUGCAUUCUAGUGAAAUGAGACCCAUUGGACACAGAGAAGCCCCACCACAAUUGCAUCUGUGUAAAAUCGAGAGAAAGAUCGUGAAAACAGCCAUGGCAGGUGCUGGACUAAGGGGUGACAUUGGGUUUUCUCUUCCCACCUAUCCUUUAGGGUUGUUAAAACAGAAAUAGAUCUCACGUAGGCCCCUGCUCUGCACCCUGCUUGCUGAGUCACGCAGGGCCAGUUACGCAGCUACCGUGUGCUUACCCGGCCUCAUCUGUAAAAUAAGGAUGACACUGCCUGCCUGGCAGGGCUCUCCUGAGAAUACACAGUGCCUCGUGCAGGGCCCAGUGCAGCAGAGAGGUCACCUCCUCCAGGAAGACUUUCCUGACCUGGGCUUGGGGUUGGGCCUCCCCAGGGCUCCUAAGGCUUCCCCACAUACCCUUCACUUUGCAAUGAUCAUCCCCUGUUACUGUCCCACAACACACAUUACACACAACACCAUACAAACACAUGCAUUCUACACACACACAACAUACACAUGCACUACAUAUAACACACAUUAUACACAUUACAAACACAACACAUACCCCACACUUCACACUCAUAUACACACAUACACCACCCACAUACACUCCAAACACUCCGCACACAUACAAACACAUACUACAUACAACACACUCAUACCACACACAUGCACACACGGGUCUGGAGGGCGGUGCUGUGUGGGGCUCCGGGCGCAUCCCUGAUCCAUAGCAGAUACUGAAUAUUUGCUGAAGGAAUAUCCAGGAGACUCGUGCUACGUCUGGUGUUUGAAAGGAAAUGAACAGUUCUUGGUAAUGUCUUGUUUAGGGUGAAUAAUGGCACUGAAGACAGAAAAUGCAUCUUAUCACCUGCUCUGGAGCAAAACAUGUGUGCUUGGAUGCGUAGAGUUAUUCUGUGUAAAUUACCCACCAGAGAGAAUUCAGGCGUGUUUCAAAAUCUAUAAAACCGUGUGCUGGGGGACCAUGA
rnacentral:lncRNA from 1 species